CUCCUUCUCCCUCUUCUCCUUCGAUCUCCUCGUCUCCUUCUCCUUCUCCUUCGAUCUCUUAGUCUCCUUCUCUUUCAUUUCCACCAUCACCAAGACCACCACCGCAACAAUAAACCAAGAAGACAUGCACCACGAAGACAUACACGAGGUAUAUUGAUUUAGAUGUAGAUGUUAAAUCGAAGAAUAAAGAUGCAGGAUUAUUGAUUUAGAUGUUAUAUGGGUUGUUUUUUAAUUUUAAUGUUGUAAUUUUUUUUUGGUUUUUUUUUAUUGUAAAUUUUUCUUUUUGAUUUUAAUGUUGGAAUUUUAGUUUUGUGUAAUUUGAUUAAUUUAGUUCUUUCAAAUUGGAAUUGUUGUAUGACUAAUUUAGUUGUAGUUAUUAAAUUAGUUUUUUCACUCUUAAAGUGUACAAUUACUAGAUAAUGAUGAAUAUAUAUGUGUUUUUAUGUAUUUUACAUAUAUGUAUAGUUUCUACUACAAUUUAAGUGAAAUAAAUGCAAAUUUUUUUUUUUUUU